rnacentral:rRNA from 1 species
UAAGGUCACGGCGAGACGAGCCGUUUAUCAUUCCAAUAGGUGUCAAGUGGAAGUGCAGUGAUGUAUGCAGCUGAGGCAUCCUAACAGACCGAGAGAUUUGAAC